rnacentral:lncRNA from 1 species
CGGCUCUUCUCUUGUUUCCACAGGUGCUACUGCUAAGCUUGGAGGAGGCAGUGUGUUGUGGGGGAGGCUGGUGAUGGAAUUAGACCCCCUGCGGCAUUCUUCAAGAGGGCUGCCUCCCCAGCGUUCCCAUUUCAACAUUUCCAGCAAACAGGUGGUUGCUCCAUUGGAGAUGAUCUACACUCAAGUGCCAAUAAGAAAUGUAACUGUAUGCUCUCUACUGAGUAACGAUGUCUGGUAAGAUAAUCUAAUGACUCUUAGUAGCCUGUAUGGUUUU